ACGCUCGACACCUACGGGGGGCAGCAGUGGGGAAUAUUGCACAAUGGGGGAAACCCUGAUGCAGCGACGCCGCGUGAGUGAAGAAGUAUUUCGGUAUGUAAAGCUCUAUCAGCAGGGAAGAAAAUGACGGUACCUGACUAAGAAGCCCCGGCUAACUACGUGCCAGCAGCCGCGGUAAUCUGAGCGGGCUGGCAAGGC
rnacentral:rRNA from 1 species